GGCGGCUCCAGGAUUUCCUGACAGCUGAGAGAGGAGGAGGAGAGGGAGGUUGCCCAACCGAAUUGGGAAGAGCCUGGUGGGGGUGAUUGACAGGCCGCAGGAAGGUACCCGGCACCCGACCCCGGGAUGGGACCUUCGGAUCCGACUCCCCACGCGAGCUCGGCAGAAAGCAGGACGACCUGUUGCUUUCUUUCCCUUCCCAUUUGCCUCUUUGGAGUUUCUUUGGCCGGUUUUUUGGGUGUUUAUUGUUGUUGUUUUUUGAUGAGUCAAAAAACUAAAAAAAAACAAAAACAAAAAUUUCAGUCAAAAGAAAGAGCAAAGUCAAGGUGAAAUGAAUCAAAAAAGAGGAAGCUGAGGAAACAAAAAAGAAAGUCAGGCUGUUUAACUGCAGUAAAGUCAAGGAGGAAAAGGCAGAUGAAAGACUUGUUUUAAAACAAUAUUUCGGUGAAUGGGAAGAACUCUACAAUUUCAGUUCAUCCUAUCAACCAAAUAUAAGAUGAGAAAACUGAGAUUCAGAGAAGGAAGGAAAACUUCCCCAAGGAUCCACAGCUGCUAUUCUUAAGACUCAUCCUUGGGAAACAUCAUUAGCUAAAAAGAGAAAAAAACUUUGAAGAGCUGGAGCACUCUAGCUUAAUGAAGUAGAUCAUAAUUGGAAUAUUUUUAACAUAAUUGGAAUAUUUUUUGAGAUUACCAAAAUUUUCAAGAUACGCUGGAUAAAACUCAUGGGCAAAAUCUUUAUGCUUUCUUUCAGAUUUGGUAUGUAUUGUUCAAAGUAGUUAAAAUCUAUUUUAUCAAGUCAAGUCAUAUUGUGAGAUAUUUAUUUAAAUCUCCACUCGUUUCAUCUUAUAAAAUGACUAUAUUUUCUAUCUUCUAUUAAUAAAAAGUAAAAGUAAAUGCGAGCCAGACUUGUUAGUUUUGGCUAUAGAGAAGUUUCUCUGUUUAGAUACAGGAUAAGUUUGUUUGAUAAUGAUAGCUAGUAAAAUUAAUAGAGUUCCUUGUGGUUUUACACAUUCUUUAUUUAUUCAAAUGACCAAGCAUCAGAGUUUGAUACAUGUAUACAUAGAUUUAACAAGGAAAUAUUUCU